rnacentral:rRNA from 1 species
GCGCAGCAGGCGAGAAACCUCCGCAAUGCGCGAAAGCGCGACGGGGUUACCCCGAGUGCCGUCCGCUGAGGACGGCUUUUGCCCAGUGUAGCCAGCUGGGCGAAUAAGGAGAGGGCAAGUCUGGUGUCAGCCGCCGCGGUAAUACCAGCUCUCCGAGUGGUGGGGACGCUUAUUGGGCCUAAAGCAUCCGUAGCCGGCUGGGCAAGUCCUCCGUUAAAUCCAACGAUUCAAUCGUUGGGCUGCGGGGGAUACUGUCCAGCUUGGGGGCGGGAGAGGCCGACGGUAUUCCCGGGGUAGGGGUGAAAUCCUAUAAUCCCGGGAGGACCACCAGUGGCGAAGGCUGUCGGCUAGAACGCGCCCGACGGUGAGGGAUGAAAGCUGGGGGAGCGAACCGGAUUAGAUA